rnacentral:rRNA from 1 species
CCUUAUCCCCAGUUGCCAUCAUUCAGUUGGGCACUCUGGUGAAACCGCCUCGGAUAACGGGGAGGAAGGUGGGGAUGACGUCAAGUCCUCAUGGCCUUUAUGUCCAGGGCUACACACGUGCUACAAUGGCCGGUACAAACCGUCGCAAACCCGCGAGGGGGAGCUAAUCGGAAAAAGCCGGCCUCAGUUCGGAUUGCAGUCUGCAACUCGACUGCAUGAAGCUGGAAUCGCUAGUAAUCGCGGAUCAGAAUGCCGCGGUGAAUACGUUCCCGGGCCUUGUACACACCGCCCGUCACAUCACGAAAGUGGGUUGCACUAGAAGUCGGUGAGCCGACCCAAAAGGGGGCAGCCGCCCAAGGUGUAAUUCAUGAUUGGGGUGAAGUCGUAACAAGGUAGCCGUAGGAGAACCUGCGGCUGGAUCACCUCCUU